rnacentral:lncRNA from 1 species
UUUCGGCUCUUGGCUUCCUGCACUGUUUGACUUCAGUUAAGUACUGCCGCCGCGCUACUUCUUAUGUGAAGGUACUGCUACUACUGCAGCGACGGCCAAUGAGGUAGAAUCGUGGCUGCAACUUGGCGAGUUAAGUAGUGGCUUAACUGAACCUGCAAUCUUGCAAGAACUGUUAUUGAUUUUUCAAUGACCAAGCUGUGGUUCGUUGAUUUUGAUUGUACCUAUAUUCUCGUUCUCUAUUAUACCUCUGAACAAAUAUUAAUCUAGGAGUAUUUCCUACAGAGAUCAAGCAGAACUAAUCUACCGAAUUCAGAUAACUCUGUGCAACAGUGUGUUACCAACCAUAGAAAGAGUGAGCCCAUUAGGUUUUCCUGUGAUAAAAUGGCCUGAAGAUUACAGUUUCAAUUUGUUAUUCCAGUCUAGCUCAGGUGUUUCAUAGACUUUCAGAAAUAUCUAUUCUUGAACUUCACUGAAGUGGGCUUCCUUCUGAGAAAAAAAGUACCAAUGCAAAAAUGAUUUAUUUUGAUCAGUAUUCGCAAAAAAAUUACUUUGAUCAGGGAAGAGGAGGCAGUGAGGGGAGUGACAUGGUGACGGGUUGCUUUGGCAUUCUCUUGCACGGGGAUAGGAAGCUGGAGUAAUCCAAGACCAGGUAUGUCCCCAUUGCUCUUAGGAAGGAUACUACAUUUUUUAAGUCGUUUACUCUUACCACUCGAUCACGGUUUACUAUUACUCUAGGUGAGAACUGAGAUUUGCAAUUUUGUUAAUCUUCCUAAUGUUGCUCGCAUAGACAUAGUGGCCAAGAUGGGACAUUUUAUCUUCCUAAUGUUACCGAGUCAGAUUAAAGAUGGGACAUUUUAUCAGGUGUUGCUCGGAUGAGAGUGACCGAGUGAGAGAGAGGUUUGCUAUACCUUGUAUCUGAGCUAACAUCAUUUGAUUUAAUUGUUGCUUUUGAUCAUGCGUUCAGGACUAGCCUACAGCCAGGAAAGAACCUGAACCCCAAGGUGAGUGCAUCCUGUCUGUUUCCCCACUUAUUUAUUUUUUCUUGGGGAAUUUCGAUAAGGCGGUGCAGGUCGUUGAGGUGAUAUGUGAGUUGGAUAGGCUGGCAUGUAAUUGGUUUGGCAGCGCCUCGUGGUCUGAUCUCCGUUCUUGUUUGCUUCAAGUACGCAUCGUUGUGCUGGUAUUUGCAUUCCAGAAGUGGGUUUCUUGCUUCAUGAGAUUUUGCUUAGUUUCUACUCCCUCCGUUCCUAAAUAUUUGUCUUUUUAGGAUUUUAAAUAGACUACCACAUACGGAUGUAUAUAGACAUAUUUUAGAAUGUAGAUUCACUCAUUUUACUCCGUAUGUAGUUACUUAUUGAAAUCUCUAGAAAGACAAAUAUUUAGGAACGGAGGGAGUAUUUUUGUAUUUCAGAGUGACGUAGCGGAGACAAUUAAUCACUCUGGGAUGAUCGUGAACCCUGAGGGUCGUUAACUGUUGUUACAUAAGAUACAUUGAUCUUUCACGUUAAGUCUUGCACAUAAAAAAAUCCAGGCGGCAAUUUCACGUAUAUGAUUGUUCAGAUGACGAGACAAACAAUUUCGUGAAUUAGACAUUUGCACGUAUAAACAAUACCAGCAAAGUCAAUAUCCUUGGUUUCGGUGUUAUUUCUUCAUUUUAGAACCUUGACCAUAUAUUCCACCAGAUGCAUUACUUUGUUUCCCGGAAACUCUACUCUUAGCUAUUGGUUGUUGAGACACCAGCUUCAUUAGCUUUCUUUACCAAAGACUGUUUUUGUUUCAUAUUCAUGCAUAAACUUCUCUUAGUGUAUUUUUUUAAUUCUCUUAGUAUAUAUAUAUGAUAUAUCCCCUUGAAAUGAAAUUUGACUAAUUAUAUUUUUUCAAAAUACUCAGACUUCUUGUACUAAAAUGUUUCUGUUGUAUUAAUUACCUUGUUACUCAAAUUCCAUGAUGUUGUACUAAUUUUUGCCUUGUUAACUAUUCAGUAGGAAGGAGGGGCUCGGUGUUGAAAAAAGAACAGAGAGAAUUGUGCUGAUCAGGAGAAGUUAACUCAAAAUCCAAGAUGUGACCUUCACAUAGCUCACAAACUUAACCACUAUUUGAUUCUUGGUAACAUUGUACGGGACACAUAACAUCCAGUUGUAUAACUGUAUAAGUAGGGUGUACUUGAUACCUAUGUUGUUCUUUGUUAACUUGUUCGCUGAAUAUUUUUCUUGCGGGAUAAGCAUCCGAUCUAUUCAUCAUCUUUCAAGACAGUACAAAUAAAAAAUUACAACCAGAUCCGUAGACCACCUAGCAAUGACUUGCUCACUGAAUUAAUUUGUUUAAAU